CGAUAAUGUGAUCGUACCACCGGAACU
rnacentral:sRNA from 1 species